rnacentral:sRNA from 1 species
GUAGGUGAAGGCCGUCAGCAGAUUGGCUGCAAAACCAGAAACGUCGUUUGUUACCGGUGCGGCUUGACCGGCGCUGAAUACCGAC